rnacentral:rRNA from 1 species
AUUGAACGAUGGCGGCAGGCCUAACACAUGCACGUCGAGCGGAGGAAGGGAGCUUGCUCCUGGAUUCAGCGGCGGACGGGUGAGUAAUGCCUAGGAAUCUGCCUGGUAGUGGGGGAUAACGUCCGGAAACGGGCGCUAAUACCGCAUACGUCCUGCGGGAGAAAGUGGGGGCUCUUCGGACCUCACGCUAUCAGAUGAGCCUAGGUCGGAUUAGCUAGUAGGUGGGGUAAAGGCCUCCCAAGGCGACGAUCCGUAACUGGUCUGAGAGGAUGAUCAGUCACACUAGAACUGAGAUCCGGUCCAAGCUCAUACGGGAGGCAGCAGUCGGGAAUAAUGGACGAAGAGCGAAGGCCUGCUGCAGCCAUGCCGUGUGUGUGAAGAAGGUCUUCGGAUCGUGAAGCACGAGAAGUGGGGACGAAGGGCAGGAAGUUAAUAGCAGGCUGUUUUGACGUUACCAACAGAAAGAGCAACGGCUAACUUCGUG